AGCUAAUUCAAUAAAGGUUGUCCUUUGCAAACCUUAAACUUUAAAACCUUAAACCUUAAACUCUAAGCGCGCAAAGCGUAAUGGGAGCACGAUUUAAGCAGUUUAGAAAGCAUAUAUGGAGCCCAUUUCUCAGAGACAUGGUAAACAUCUCCCUGCGAAAACAUUUCACUCACAAACAGCCGCAAUAUACAACUGCUAAGCUUGAAAUUUGUGCUCCCAUUAUGCUAUGCGCGCUUAGAGUUUAAGGUUU